GAGUCUGACGGAGCACGCCGCGUGAGUGAUGAAGGCUUUCGGGUCGUAAAACUCUGUUGUUAGGGAAGAACAAGUGCUAGUUGAAUAAGCUGGCACCUUGACGGUACCUAACCAGAAAGCCACGGCUAACUACGUGCCAGCAGCCGCGGUAAUACGUAGGUGGCAAGCGUUAUCCGGAAUUAUUGGGCGUAAAGCGCGCGCAGGUGGUUUCUUAAGUCUGAUGUGAAAGCCCACGGCUCAACCGUGGAGGGUCAUUGGAAACUGGGAGACUUGAGUGCAGAAGAGGAAAGUGGAAUUCCAUGUGUAGCGGUGAAAUGCGUAGAGAUAUGGAGGAACACCAGUGGCGAAGGCGACUUUCUGGUCUGUAACUGACACUGAGGCGCGAAAGCGUGGGGAGCAAACAGGAUUAGAUACCCUGGUAGUCCACGCCGUAAACGAUGAGUGCUAAGUGUUAGAGGGUUUCCGCCCUUUAGUGCUGAAGUUAACGCAUUAUUCACUCCCCCCGGGGAGUACGGGCGCAAGGCUGAAA
rnacentral:rRNA from 1 species